rnacentral:piRNA from 1 species
UCNGAAUGAUAGAUUGCCUUGGAACUGCUU